AGAACAUACUACUCAAGCAGUAAUAAGGAGAAGAGAAACACAACUACAACAUGCUAUACGCUGCAGACAGCAUUAAGAAUCUUGAGAGAAGAUCAAUUUGAGGAAAAUUAAGGAAUCAUUAUUAGUAAUGAUUCAGAAUUUAUCGACCAUUUACACCCAACUCAAUUCCAUUGGCAAUCUGUUGCACCAAUCACCAGCCAUGAACUCAUAACAAAACAAAGCCUUUGUUGACCAUAUGUUGGAGGUGUGCAAUUAAGAGUUUGCCACAUCAAAUAUUGAAAAAGUUUCAACAACGUCUGAUGAAAAUGAUGCAAAAGAUGAAUAAACAGGUAAGAUUCUGCUUCA